rnacentral:lncRNA from 15 species
AUGGACACUGAUCUGUCGGAGGGCUGUCCUCACCUGCAGACUGCACUCCAGGUCAUCAGAUUGAAGAAAGUAAAACAGUUCUCAUUUGUGGUUUUAAAAAUGCAACACUUACACACAUCCUGCACAAACAAGGUGACAGAGAGUCAGCUCAGGGGCGUGAUGCACCCCUCACUGUCACUGUCAGUGUCAGUAUCAGUCGAUCAACGACCAGGCAUGGAGCUCAUAACACUGUGCACUAUUGUCGGUGAGUACAAAAGUGUUCUAGUAUUUUACAGUUUAUUUAUCAAAUAUUUACUGUAGAAUAGAAUUUACAAUAGUUAUUUUGCUGCUAUGAAUCAAUAAAUAGUUCUACUAAAUAAUGUCUGUACAUGUUACUAUUUUUUCUUUGUCUCGUUGAAGUUAUUGUCUGUGACGUCCGGAGGUUUUUGUUUUGUUGUGAAUUGAGUUGAAGCAAAUGCUAAUUAAUUACAGUCGUGUUACCGUGAGAGUAGGAAGACAACAAAACCGUAAACAGUCCAACACAAAACCCUCCGCUCCCCUUCACGACCAGAUAUUCUCUGCUUGUUGUUAGCCUCAGCACGAAUGAGAUACAGCAUUUCUUUUAAAACUGUCCAUGUUACUUGACGCUGACUUCAGAUUCAGAUUCGUGGGUGAUUUGUGAAGUUUUGGUUACAUGUUAUCUCACAUUGUGCAACUGCAAAGGUUGUGAAGAGGCAGAUGUUGUCAAUGUAUGUGCUUACAUUGCAUUGGUUACUCUAGGCGGCAAGCACCCAUUUGGCAUUAUUAAUAGAAAAUAAACAGAAUCAAUUCACAGCUUCUCAUACACCCAAAUGAUGGAUCCAACCAUUGUCAAAAAAUUGUCAAAUCAUUCUUUUGCCCAGAAGUUCCAGAGAACUGGAAACCUCUGAGCUGCUUUCAUUAUUCGAAUCAUAUCCGUAGUGAAACAAGGAAGCAACAAAAUGCAAUGAAGGUGACACUGCAUAUUGGUUUGACUGGUUGUUCAUCUCUGCAAGUAUUCACAGGACUUUGUUUUCCGCAUUGUGAACACAUUUACAAUGAAAAAUCUCAAUUUGUCAUCCUCUCUCUUCUUAUGCAGCCU